rnacentral:rRNA from 1 species
GAUGAACGCUGGCGGCGUGCCUAAUACAUGCAAGUCGAGCGAACCACUUCGGUGGUGAGCGGCGAACGGGUGAGUAACACGUAGGUGAUCUGCCCAUCAGACGGGGACAACGAUUGGAAACGAUCGCUAAUACCGGAUAGGACGAAAGUUUAAAGGUGCUUCUGGCACCGCUGAUGGAUGAGCCUGCGGCGCAUUAGCUAGUUGGUAGGGUAAAGGCCUACCAAGGCGACGAUGCGUAGCCGACCUGAGAGGGUGAACGGCCACACUGGGACUGAGAGACGGCCCAGACUCCGACGGGAGGAAGCAGUAGGGAAUCUUCGGCAAUGGGCGAAAGCCUGACCGAGCAACGCCGCGUGAAUGAUGAAGGCCUUCGGGUUGUAAAAUUCUGUUAUAAGGGAAGAACGACUUUAGUAGGAAAUGGCUAGAGUGUGACGGUACCUUAUGAGAAAGCCACGGCUAACUACGUGCCAGCCGCCGCCGUAA